UGGGGAAUAUUGGACAAUGGGGGCAACCCUGAUCCAGCCAUGCCGCGUGAGUGAUGAAGGCCUUCGGGUUGUAAAGCUCUUUUGGCGGGGACGAUAAUGACGGUACCUGGAGAAGCAGCUGCGGCUUACUACGUGCCAGCAGCCGCGGUAAUACGUAGGCAGCAAGCGUUGUUCGGAAUUACUGGGCGUAAAGGGUGCGUAGGCGGCGCUCUAAGUUUGGUGUGAAAUCUCCCGGCUUAACUGGGAGGGUGCACUGAAAACUGGGGCGCUCGAGUAUGGGAGAGGAAAGCGGAAUUCCUGGUGUAGCGGUGAAAUGCGUAGAGAUCAGGAGGAACACCUGCGGUGCAGACGGCUUUCUGGACCAUCACUGACGCUGAGGCACGAAAGCGUGGGUAGCAAACA
rnacentral:rRNA from 1 species